AGUGAACGCUGGCGGUAGGCCUAACACAUGCAAGUCGAGCGGCAGCACAGUAAGAGCUUGCUCUUACGGGUGGCGAGUGGCGGACGGGUGAGGAAUACAUCGGAAUCUACUUUUUCGUGGGGGAUAACGUAGGGAAACUUACGCUAAUACCGCAUACGACCUACGGGUGAAAGCAGGGGAUCUUCGGACCUUGCGCGAUUGAAUGAGCCGAUGUCGGAUUAGCUAGUUGGCGGGGUAAAGGCCCACCAAGGCGACGAUCCGUAGCUGGCCUGAGAGGAUGAUCAGCCACACUGGAACUGAGACACGGUCCAGACUCCUACGGGAGGCAGCAGUGGGGAAUAUUGGACAAUGGGCGCAAGCCUGAUCCAGCCAUACCGCGUGGGUGAAGAAGGCCUUCGGGUUGUAAAGCCCUUUUGUUGGGAAAGAAAAGCAGCAGGUUAAUACCCCGCUGUUCUGACGGUACCCAAAGAAUAAGCACCGGCUAACUUCGUG
rnacentral:rRNA from 1 species